rnacentral:tRNA from 1 species
UUGGUAGAAGCCAAAAUAAAGAGGCUUACCACUGUUAAUGGUACCAUUGAAUUUUUUUCCUACCAAG